rnacentral:rRNA from 1 species
UAGAGUUUGAUCCUGGCUCAGGAUAAACGCUGGCGGCGUGCUUUGGUAUGCAAGUGGAACGACGUGUCUUCGGACACGGAGUCGCGAACGGUCGAGUAACACGUAGGAAUCUACCUCUUGGUGGGGAAUAGCCAUGGGAAACCAUGGUUAAUACCGCAUAAGAUCUCCGGAUGAAAGGGCUUAACUGCCCGCCGAGAGAGGAGCCUGCGGCCUAUCAGUUUGUUGGUGUGGUAAUGGCGCACCAAGACUACGACGGGUAGGGGGCGUGAGAGCGUGUACCCCCGAAAUGGCACUGAGACACGGGCCAUACACCUACGGGUGGCGCAACCAGGAAUCGUGCGCAAUGGACGAAAGUCUGACGCCGCGACGCCGCGUGAAGGAUGAAGGCCUAUGGGUUGUAAACUUCUUUUGACGUAACGGAGACGUUGCGUAGAAUAAGCACCGGCUAACUUCGUGCCAGCAGCAGCGGUAAUACGAAGGGUGCAAGCGUUGUCCGGAUUUAUUGGGCGUAAAGCGUUCCGCAGGCGCAUUUGUAAGUCAUGCUUCAAAGCUCGGGGCUCAACCUCGAAAAGGGGUGUGAUACUGCAAAUGUAGAAUAAUGUAGGGGCUACUGGAACUUUGCAUGUAGGAGUGAAAUCCGUUGAUAUGCAAAGGAACACCGAGGGCGUAGGCAGGUAGCUGGGCAUUUAUUGACGCUCAGGGACGACAGCUAGGGGAGCGAAAGGGAUUAGAGACCCCUGUAGUCCUAGCCGUAAACGAUGCUCGCUAGAGAUGGGAAUUUAUUUUUUGUCUCGUAAGCUAACGCGUUAAGCGAGCCGCCUGGGGAGUACGAGCGCAAGCUUAAAACUCAAAGGAAUUGACGGGGACCCGCACAACCAGUGGAGCAUGUGGUUUAAUUCGAGACGAACCGAAGAACCUUACCUAGGUUUGACAUCCCGACGACCGCCAUAGAAAUAUGGCUUUCUUUUAUUAGACGUCGGUGACAGGUGCUGCAUGGCUAUCGUCAGCUCGUGCCGUGGGGUGUUCCCUUCAGUGGGGUAACGAGCGCAACCCUUGCCGUAUGUUAGAUUGUUCAUACGGGACUAUCUUGAUUAAUUCAAGGAGGAAGCGGGGACGACGUUAAGUCAGCAUGGCCCUUAUGCCUAGGGCUACACACAUGCUACAAUGGGGCCGACAGAGGGUUGCCAAGCCGUAAGGUGGAGCUAAUCCCAAAAACGGCCUCUCAGUGGGGAUUGAGGGCUGCAAUUCGCCCUCAUGAACGAGGAAUUGGUAGUAAUCGCAAAUCAGCCAAGUUGCGGUGAAUACGUUCUCGGGUCUUGUACACACCGCCCGUCAAGUCAGAGGAGUUGGGGGUACCCGAAGUUCGUGGGUUUACGGACGAAGGUGAAACCAGCAACUAGGAUUAAGUCGUAACAAGGUAACC